CCUUGUCACCCAGCAUCAGCUCCCUGGCCAUAUGGUAGGAAAUUAAUAUGUUUAUUGACUGACUAAUUAACUCUCAGACCUGUCUCCUUAUAUUACAGAAAGGGAGAGACAUUGCUGCCUCUUAUUUGAAGGCACAGAAGACUUGAGAGAAGCUGAAGUGAGAUGGACAGGGAUUGGAUUUGCAUUGGCAAUAAGGCCUUGAACUUCCUCGGAGGCUGUAGAGCACACACUCCUCCGUCCUGCAGCUGAUCACUGAGAUCCUCCCUAUAGUGUGGCUGCGCUGCAGUCUCCCUUGGAUGCAAUUUGUCAGUGAUAAUCACAUCCCAAGCGUGUGCCUCCUCCAUCUUGUCGUCAGCGUUAGAGUUGGAGAGAUUGGACUGAAGUUUACUUUGCAUUUCCCAGUCCAUCCUCCUUGAAGUUGAGUAGAGCCGCCACAUCUGUUUUUAGCAGCCACAGCAGUUGGCUGGGAUUUGGCUACACUGUUGGCUCCCGCACAACCAAAGAGCACAGGAGACAGAGGCUCUGGGGGUGAGAUGGGAGAGGGGGAGGAUAAUGAUGUUGUUUUGAGAGGUGGUGGAACCUUUAUGACAUGGGGCCUAGCUGGCAGACAUAAGGAUGUAUCAGUGGGGCUUGAGGCUUCUAGACCCACUCUGCCUCCAGCCCAAGGCUUUCUGCCCGCAGGUGCCCACCCUCAUCCCAGGAGCUGGUUAUUCUGCACACCUUUCUCACCAGGAUCGGCUAUUCCCACUCAAGCUGUGAGCCAAAAUAAAAUCCUUCCUCCCUUGUU